rnacentral:rRNA from 1 species
UACGAAGGGAGCUAGCGUUGUUCGGAAUCACUGGGCGUAAAGCGCACGUAGGCGGAUGUGUCAGUCAGGGGUGAAAUCCCGGAGCUCAACUUCGGAACUGCCUUUGAUACUGGAGAGCUUGAGUCCGGAAGAGGUGAGUGGAACUCCGAGUGUAGAGGUGAAAUUCGUAGAUAUUCGGAAGAACACCAGUGGCGAAGGCGGCUCACUGGUCCGGUACUGACGCUGAGGUGCGAAAGCGUGGGGAGCAAACAGG